UACGGAGGAUGCGAGCGUUAUCCGGAUUUAUUGGGUUUAAAGGGUGCGUAGGCGGGAUGCCAAGUCAGCGGUAAAAAUGCGGUGCUCAACGCCGUCGAGCCGUUGAAACUGGCGUUCUUGAGUGGGCGAGAAGUAUGCGGAAUGCGUGGUGUAGCGGUUAAAUGCAUAGAUAUCGCGCAGAACUCCGAUUGCGAAGGCAGCAUACCGGCGCCCUACUGACGCUGAGGCACGAAAGCGUGGGUAUCGAACAGG
rnacentral:rRNA from 1 species